UCGGCUCCUGAGUUAAGAAGCAUGGGAGGCCGGCGGGGUGUCGGAGCGCACACCGGCAUGGCUUACAUCGCUGUUGAUAGUUAAUAACCCAGGAUGUUAAAGAACUGAACGGAGAAGGGAAAUGAACCACAACAAACUUUGGAGUCUGUCCUAGGGAAGAGGCUGUGAAGCACAGAGGAGAACACGCAUCUGACCCACUUGUGAAGCAGCGCCUUUAAUGAGUCAUGAAGACGAGAAGUAUGGGGACACUCGUGACUCACAUUAAUGAGGAACGUGACGGGGUGGUUCUUCUCAAGAUGGUCUUCAGAUCUCAGCCCACUCAUCUAAUCAAGAGCCAUAAAUAGCAGCUGUGUCUUGUUCUAGCCAGAGUAGCUGCUAUUUAUUGGAGCAAAGACUACGUAGUCACCCCUGCAAUGUAUUGUUUGAGAAGUUAUUAAAAGUUGCAGCUACAAA